rnacentral:rRNA from 1 species
AUUGAACGCUGGCGGCAGGCCUAACACAUGCAAGUCGAGCGGAUGAAGGGAGCUUGCUCCCUGAUUCAGCGGCGGACGGGUGAGUAAUACCUAGGAAUCUGCCUGGUAGUGGGGGACAACGUUUCGAAAGGAACGCUAAUACCGCAUACGUCCUACGGGAGAAAGCAGGGGACCUUCGGGCCUUGCGCUAUCAGAUGAGCCUAGGUCGGAUUAGCUAGUUGGUGAGGUAAUGGCUCACCAAGGCGACGAUCCGUAACUGGUCUGAGAGGAUGAUCAGUGAAUCUGGAACUGAGACACGGUGCAGACUUCUACGGGAGGCCGAAGUGGGGAAUAUUGGACAAUGGGGGGAACCCUGUUCCAGCCAUGCCGCGUGUGUGAAGAAGGCCUUAUGGUUGUAAAGCACUUUAAGCGAGGAGGAGGCUCUUUUGGUUAAUACCCAAGAUGAGUGGACGUUACUCGCAGAAUAAGCACCGGCUAACUCUGUGCCAGCCGCCGCCGUAA